UUGAGAAAUGUAAAUCUUUACAAUUAAUUUAAUUUGCAUAAUAUGAAAUAAGCCGUUUUGUUGAUGGAUGUUGGACUUUUAUUUGAACUUUUUACCUACAAAAAAUUUGGUGCGUGCCGUUCAUCAGUCCGAUGAAAAAAUGGAUAAAAAUCCCAAAAAGGAGAAGAAGAAGAGGGUCAAGUUAGCGCUGUGUUCUUCAGUGGAUGUGAUGGACUCGUCCAGUGCAGCUCCUGAAGACCGUGACAAACCACCCUCAUCUUCCUCAUCUUCCUCUUCUUCUUCAGGCAAACGCAGAUUUAAAGGUCUGCGGCGCUUCUUCUGCAGAAUGCUGUCAUUCUGUGGCGUGUCUUCGUCUUCUGAGCAGGAUAAGACGUCUUCCAUCCAGACUCAGAAGACCAGCGACGACUCGAGUGCAGUCGGCAGAUCUUCUGAGGAGCUUCAAGAAGUUGAUCUGCUGACUGCCGACCAGAAGAAAGAAGCAGUCGGAGCAGUAGUUCCUCCUGAUUCCUCCUCAUCUGCAGACGUCAGAUCCUCAGAACAAACAGCGUCUGAGCUGCAGACUGAGAUUCAGGAGACUGAACCCGUCACAGCAGUAGUUGAAGGGACUAAACCUCCUUCUCUCAGUGUUGAUGGUCCUUCAUCUGCAGACAGAGUCUCUGCUCAAGAGACAAAACCCUUCACAGACGCAGCUCUGAGCUUCGAGAGCAUUGAUGUUGAGCGUCUUGUAGAAUUGCUGGCCAGUUUCGGAGUCCAGUGGCAUGAUCUGAGCAAGGAUUCACUGAAGGAGCUGCUCAAGUCUUUGGAGGAACAGGAGGAAGCGUCUGAAGAGAAAUCAGCUGAGGAGGAUGAUGCUGAUCAAGCUGCGCUGGGUCUUCCUAAUUUAGGAAACACGUGCUAUAUGAACUCCGUCAUUCAGUGCCUCCUCAGCGUUUCUCCCUUUCGGGAAGAUUUGCUCUCGCAGCAGGAGAAUCACACAGACAGCGCCACGCUGCUCAGAGCGUUAACUGACCUGCACAUGAGCCGGAUGGACAGCAGUGACUCUGAUCUGAAGGAAACACACUUGGCUAAAGUUAAAAGCUACAUAGAAAGUCACUUUCCAGUUUUCAAGGGACGCUGUCAGCAGGAUGCACACGAGUUCUUCAUGGCUUGUCUGUCCCGUCUAAAAGAGGAAAGCAUGAGCUUGAGAUCGUCUCAUCCCUCAUACACUUGCCCCGUGUCCAGUAUGGAGUUCAAGCUCAGAAGCGAGCGCACCUGCAACAGCUGCGGCCUCAUGAAGAGUUUCACAGAGGAAUCAAACUGCCUCUCGCUGGUCAUCGGCCCUCAUGCGAGUCUCACAGACAGUCUGCAGCAGUACAUGAACGCGUCGUUCAUUGAUUGCGUGUGCAGUCUGUGUGGAGGACCACAGGCCUCUGAGACCCUGAAGUUUCUCUCUCUUCCUCGGGUCCUGGUCCUUCUGGUGCAGCGCUUUGACUUCACGUCCUCCAUGAUCAAGCUGAAGAAUCGACUGGAGAUUCCUGAGGAGCUGACGCUGUCCUGCGUUAAAGGAAGAAGCUCCAGUCGUCAUCAGCUCACAGUACAGACUCUCUGCUGUUGUGUCUCAUGCGGGAAGCCAUUUGUUUUUUUGGACACUACAUCAGUCAGAUCCGUGAGCGCAGGGAGGACGGAUGGCUGCGGUGCAGCGACGCGUCUGUCAGAAGAAGCAGCUGGAGCGAGGUGUCCGAGGACGCCGGGGACAACGGAUACUUGCUGUUUUAUGUCAAGAGCUGAGCAGCGUUUGGUGAGGAACAGAUGAGGAAGACCCCGUGAGGAAGAUCCCGUCGAGAGGGGGUCUUGAGAAACCCUCAUGCUCGGUUGUUUUUUGUAGAAAGACGAUGCUGAUCAUCUCUACUUGUCAUGAAGAUAUAAGUCAGGUGCGCUUCAGGAAUCAACUGCAGGAUUCUCAUCAUAAUGUGCUGGACUCUGACUGACUCCACGAGUCACGUCAUCAUAAAUGUGAUCAGGAUCUGCUGGACAGAAAACAAACAUUUGAGGAGAAAAUCAGCAGCAGCAGUGAGAUGAAGAUCAACAAGCACAACAAUCCCACAACCACUCCAGCGACCAGAAGAAGAGAUGAAGCUGCUGAGACCGGAGAACAUAAACAUGCAGAUCUGAUCUUAAGUCACAUGAUAAUAUUUCAUAAAACCUAAUAUUCCAAGGCUUCUGACUUCAACCCCUGUGCUCCUGAUGGGUAUAACAUUAAUUUAAAUAAAGAUAACAUCGAUAAACAUUCAAUGAUAAUAAUAAGGUUGAUAAUAAACCUUAUUUGCCUCAAAAGGAGGCAUCUUUAAGCCACACAAAACUGAUAAUUAAUUUUUAGUUCAUCAGUGCGUAUAUUAAUGCUCAACAGCAGGCAAGUGUUUAUCACAGUAUUUACUCACCAUUAACAGACAGGUUAUAGUAAUAAUCACUUACACAGCUUACCCUGCUCAACAAGUCAUUUACAUUAUGUUUUCAUUGUGUUAGUUAUGAUGAUUUGUGAGAUUGUGUUUAUUGCAUCAUGUUUCAGACACGAGUGUUCGGCUACAAUGCUCACUGCUGCAACCUUUGAUAGAUCGAAAUAUAAUGCUAUAAUCAACACUUUUCACCAUUAGUUCAUCUUGGUGGAUAUGUUUCUUAUAAAAUCGCAUGGAUUCGCUACAGGAGGCUUUUAUUCAUGCCCUGGAGCCGUGUGAGGCACGUUUUAUUACAGAUAAUUGACGUGUUUUGGACUGUUGAACAGAAACACCCGCUGACUGCAACGAUAACGCUUAGAAGAGCAGGACAAUUUUUAAUAUAACUCUGAUUGGAUUCGUCUGAAAGAAGGAAGUCAUAUACACCUAGGAUGCCUCGAGGGUGAGUAAAGAACAACAAUGUGAAGAAGAUCUACGGCAAAACUGAAACCAAGCCGUUCACACGGAGCACAUAUUUAUCACAUUUUCUGUAGAGACAUCUAUCACCGUUGCACACAAGUCACAUGUUUAGAAAGCCAUGUAAAAUUAAUGCAAGUUCAACUUUGAAAAAAAAAAACAUGUCUCGAGAAUUUAUGGCGUCCCCUCCC